AGGGCCAUCGCUCAACGGAUAAAAGGUACUCUGGGGAUAACAGGCUGAUUCCUCCCAAGAGUUCAUAUCGACGGGGGAGUUUGGCACCUCGGUGUCGGCUCAUCACAUCCUGGGGCUGUAGCCGGUCCCAAGGGUAUGGCUGUUCCCCAUUUAAAGUGGUACGUGAGCUGGGUUUAAAACGUCGUGAGACAGUUUGGUCCCUAUCUGCCUUGGGCGCUGGAAGUUUGAGGGGACCUGCUCCUAGUACGAGAGGACCGGAGUGGACGUAUCUCUGGUGUACCGGUUGUCACGCCAGUGGCAUCGCCGGGUAGCUAUAUACGGAAGAGAUAACCGCUGAAAGCAUCUAAGCGGGAAACUCGCCUCAAGAUGAGACUUCCCUGGAGAUUCGAUCUCCCUGAAGGGUCGUGGAAGACUACCACGUUGAUAGGUCGGGUGUGGAAGCGCAGUAAUGCGUUAAGCUAACCGAUACUAAUUGCCCGUGCGGCUUGAUCCU
rnacentral:rRNA from 1 species